GGGGAAUAUUGCACAAUGGGGGCAACCCUGAUGCAGCGACGCCGCGUGAGCGAUGAAGGAAUUCGUUUCGUAAAGCUCUGUCCUUGGAGAAGAUAAUGACGGUAACCAAGGAGGAAGCACCGGCUAAAUACGUGCCAGCAGCCGCGGUAAUACGUAUGGUGCGAGCGUUGUCCGGAAUUAUUGGGCGUAAAGGGUACGUAGGCGGUUUAACAAGUCAGAUGUUAAAACUUGAGGCUUAACCUCAUGUUGCAUUUGAAACUGUAAAACUUGAGUAGUGGAGAGGAAAGUGGAAUUCCUAGUGUAGCGGUGAAAUGCGUAGAUAUUAGGAGGAAUACCAGUAGCGAAGGCGACUUUCUGGACACAAACUGACGCUGAGGUACGAAAGCGUGGGGAGCAAACA
rnacentral:rRNA from 1 species